rnacentral:rRNA from 1 species
AGUGAACGCUGGCGGUAGGCCUAACACAUGCAAGUCGAACGGCAGCACAGUAAGAGCUUGCUCUUACGGGUGGCGAGUGGCGGACGGGUGAGGAAUACAUCGGAAUCUACUUUUUCGUGGGGGCUAACGUAGGGAAACUUACGCUAAUACCGCAUACGACCUACGGGUGAAAGCAGGGGAUCUUCGGACCUUGCGCGAUUGAAUGGGCCGAUGUCGGAUUAGCUAGUUGGCGGGGUAAAGGCCCACCAAGGCGACGAUCCGUAGCUGGUCUGAGAGGAUGAUCAGCCACACUGGAACUGAGACACGGUCCAGACUCCUACGGGAGGCAGCAGUGGGGAAUAUUGGACAAUGGGCGCAAGCCUGAUCCAGCCAUACCGCGUGGGUGAAGAAGGCCUUCGGGUUGUAAAGCCCUUUUGUUGGGAAAGAAAAGCAGCAGGUUAAUACCCCGCUGUUCUGACGGUACCCAAAGAAUAAGCACCGGCUAACUUCGUG